rnacentral:rRNA from 1 species
UACGGAGGGGGCUAGCGUUGUUCGGAAUUACUGGGCGUAAAGCGCAUGUAGGCGGCUUUGUAAGUUAGAGGUGAAAGCCCGGGGCUCAACUCCGGAACUGCCUUUAAGACUGCAUCGCUUGAAUCAUGGAGAGGUCAGUGGAAUUCCGAGUGUAGAGGUGAAAUUCGUAGAUAUUCGGAAGAACACCAGUGGCGAAGGACGACUGACUGGACAUGUAUUGACGCUGAGGUGGCGAAAGCGUGGGGAGCAAACAGG